UAUUGCACAAUGGGCUCAAGCCUGAUGCAGCGACGCCGCGUGAGCUAAGAAGGUUUUCGGAUCGUAAAGCUCUGUCCUCUGGGUAGAAAAAAAUGACGGUACCAGAGGAGGAAGCCCCGGCUAACUACUUGCCAGCAGCCGCGGUAAUACGUAGGGGGCUAGCGUUGUCCGGAUUUAGUGGGCGUAAAGGGUGAGUAGGCGGUAACGUGUGUCAGAUGUUUAAUCUAUGGGCUCAACCCAUACCAGCAUUUGAAACUACGUAACUUGAGUGCAGGAGAGGUAAGUGGAAUUCCUAGUGUAGCGGUGGAAUGCGUAGAUAUUAGGAGGAACACCAGUGGCGAAGGCGACUUACUGGACCGCAACUGACGCUGAGUCACGAAAGCGUGGGGAGCAAACAGG
rnacentral:rRNA from 1 species